CUUGCUAGGUGUCCUUAGUGGCGCACGGGUGAGUAACACGUGGGAACAUACCUCAUAGUACGGAAUAACUGCGGGAAACUGUAGCUAAUACCGUAUAUUCCAGUAAUGGGAAAGAUUUAUCGCUAUGAGAUUGGCCCGCGCAAGAUUAGUUUGUUGGUAAGGUAAUGGCUUACCAAGGCUACGAUCUUUAGCUGGUUUGAGAGGAUGAUCAGCCACACUGGGACUGAGACACGGCCCAGACUCCUACGGGAGGCAGCAGUAGGGAAUAUUGGACAAUGGGGGCAACCCUGAUCCAGCAAUGCAGCGUGAGUGACGAAGGCCUUAGGGUUGUAAAACUCUUUCAUCGGUGAGGAUAAUGACAGUAGCCGAAGAAGAAGGACCGGCUAAUUCCGUGCCAGCAGCCGCGGUAAUACGGAAGGUCCUAGCGUUGUUCGGAAUUACUGGGCGUAAAGCGCAUGUAGGCGGAACAGAAAGUUAGAAGUGAAAUCCCUGGGCUCAACCUAGGAAUUGCUUUUAAAACUUCUGUUCUGGAAUUCAGGAGAGGAAAAUGGAAUAUCCAGUGUAGAGGUGAAAUUCGUAGAUAUUGGAUGGAACACCAGUGGCGAAGGCGAUUUUCUGGACUGAUAUUGACGCUGAGAUGCGAAGGCAUGGGUAGCAAACGGGAUUAGAUACCCCGGUAGUCCAUGCAGUAAACGAUGGGUGCUAGUCGUCGGACUUAUGUUCGGUGUCGUAGCUAACGCGUUAAGCACCCCGCCUGGGGAGUACGGUCGCAAGAUUAAAACUCAAAUAAAUUGACGGGGACCCGCACAAGCAGUGGAGCAUGUGGUUUAAUUCGACGCAACGCGAAGAACCUUACCAGCGUUUGACAUGGGAAGUACCGGUUACAGAAUGGUAACCUUCAGUUCGGCUGGCUUCUACACAGGUGCUGCAUGGCUGUCGUCAGCUCGUGUCGUGAGAUGU
rnacentral:rRNA from 1 species